rnacentral:lncRNA from 1 species
CACACAACAAACAAGAAACAUCAUCACUAAACCAGACCUCCCAGCACUACAUCAACCCGUCUUUUGAACACCUCCAGGGAUGAUGUGUCCAUACUUCCCCCUUUGACCACCUCCCCCGCAGCCCCCCAAAAGUUUUGACCUUCUUGAAAAAUCCUUCUCUCCCCAGCUCUGAGCUCCUGGGACCCCCAAAAAACCAUAUUCCCUUAUUCUCAUGGACCGUCUGCAGGGCUGGAUCCCUCGGUGGGACGUGGGUCUGGACUCUCUGUCCCGCACGUGGUGGAUACGUGCCAGACGGCAGCACUUUUUUUAAAUAAUCUGUAGCACUCUAAUGUCCGUCCCGCAGGAGCUGAUGAAAUGGGUCCUAUUAUACUUCCUGAGCUAAGCUUGAUCUUUCAUUGUCCCGUCGGCCCAGCUCCCGGCACCGCGAGCUCCAUUUUCACUGCGGACAAUUGCAAAGGCCAAAAGUGGGAAUCACCGGUGGUGGAAAAGUUUUAUGGGUUUCCCUUUUGCCAUUUCCAUCUAGAUGACAUCAUAAAACGCCACAGGAAGGAGCAGACGGAGGGCAGUGCCACGGGGGACCGGCGGCAGCAGCAGGUGAAGAACAGGAACGCGGCGUUUGGGUCCGGGCGGCCCCGAUUCCGCGCCUGGAUGCAGAGGAAUUUGCAAGGGCCUAACCGUUUUAGAAGAGGGUUUGGACAACAACAACACAACCGGAGACAGUUCAGGAACACUGUGCCCGGCCCCAGGAGAAGGGCAGCUGCCGCCUUAAACGGAGUGAGCCCUUUGAAUCGCCAGGCAUCGGCUCAGGAGGGCAACAGGAACGACGAGGCUUUCGCCAAAAGCAGCGGGCAGCCCGAGGGACGGCGACGGCCGCCCCCAGGCCCCAAGAGAUUCCGAGUGGCUGCUGCCAGCACCCACGCCCCGGGGAGAAGGCCUUUCCUGCUGAACCGGGGACCAGCCUUCCAGCAGAAGCGGAUGCCGCAGUGGUUCUCCAAAGCCAACUUUCAGAGAGGGCAGAUGGAUGCUAAUGGAGAAGGGAAACCACCCAGGAGGAGAAGGUGGCAAGUGAAGCCCAGCCCCGGAGCGGUUCUGACGGUUUCUGUGGCUAAUCCCCAGGCGGGCCAGGCCGGCGCGCCAGCCAAAGCCAUCUCCAGACUAACCUCUGGUGGGGUCGAGAGGUUUAGAAGUGCAGGAGGAACCAUACAGGGUCAGGAGAGAGUCCCCGUGGAGCAUCCCCGGGAUUGGGACACCAGGACCAAACCAAACACACAGCGAUUUCUUCCUUUAGCCCUGGUAUCUUUGUGUUUAACAGCAUUUGGUGGGGUUUUCUUCCACUGUUGCCUUUUGCUGUUUGCUUUCUGUCUAUUUGUCUGCCUCCAGAGGCCAGUAUUACAAGUGAAUAUUUGUUCCUGUAUGCCCUUCACAAUUUAUAGACCCAUGCCGUGUUCUCCCUUCCUCACCACCUUUCUAGAAGAACCUCAGUGUAUCUACUUGUUCACUGCCACCUUCUGGAUAUAUAUAUAUAUUUUUUUUUUUAGUGUAUAUAAAUUUGUAAUAAAGAUAUCUUAAAAUAAACUAUGUUUAUAUUAAGUCA